AAGUCUAAAAAUUAAAAGCUCGAAAAAAAAUCUAAAGAAUAGAGCUUCUAAUUAUGAUCUAGCUUCAUUAUAAACCCUAAGAGAUUGCUUAGCUAGGCAUAAUUUAAUUUGAAGCUCUAAAAUUUAAUUAAAAAAUAUAAAAUAAUAAUUAUUUUAAUUACAAAAAUUUAACAUGUAGGAAUUUAAAGGAUUGCAAGAAUUAAAUAAAAAAAAUAAAUGUAAGAAAAUUAAACUAUCCUAUUACUCAAAUUAAAAAAAUAUAUAAAUUAAAUUGAAGGGAAAGAAACUAAUUUAUUGCUAGAAUAAAAAUUGUAAUACGAUUAACUUUAACGUCUAAGCAAUCAACAGGGCUUGGAAUUAAAAAAAAUUAAAACAAAAGAAGAGAAAAACCUAAAUUAGAAUCUCUUCCUACAGCCUUCUUCUGUAAAGCUUUUUGAUUCUCGCACCUUAUCCGACUGACUCUUCUUCUCGUAUGUUGAAAGGAUGGAAGAAAUGGAAACAAAGUUAAAGAAUUAAAAAAAUAGAUAUUUUCGUCAAUUACACGGGCUCCUACAAGAGGCA
rnacentral:lncRNA from 1 species